rnacentral:rRNA from 1 species
UACGUAGGGGGCAAGCGUUGUCCGGAAUCAUUGGGCGUAAAGCGCGUGUAGGCGGCUGAGCAAGUCCGCUCUGAAAGCCCGAGGCUCAACCUCGGGAGGCGAGUGGAUACUGCUCAGCUCGAGUCCGGAAGAGGAGUGUGGAAUUCCUGGUGUAGCGGUGAAAUGCGCAGAUAUCAGGAAGAACACCCGUGGCUAAGGCGGCUCUCUAGUACGGUACUGACGCUGAGACGCGAAAGCGUGGGGAGCGAACAGG